CUCUCCCUCUUUCUUCCGGCUUCCCCCCUGCACGUCGAGCGGGCACUUUCGGGUGUCAGCGGCGGACGGGUGAGUAACGCGUGGGAACGUGCCCUCUGGUUCGGAAUAACUCAGGGAAACUUGAGCUAAUACCGGAUACGCCCUUUUGGGGAAAGGCUUGCUGCCGGAGGAUCGGCCCGCGUCUGAUUAGCUAGUUGGUGAGGUAACGGCUCACCAAGGCGACGAUCAGUAGCUGGUCUGAGAGGAUGAUCAGCCACACUGGGACUGAGACACGGCCCAGACUCCUACGGGAGGCAGCCGUGGGGAAUAUUGGACAAUGGGCGCAAGCCUGAUCCAGCCAUGCCGCGUGAGUGAUGAAGGCCUUAGGGUUGUAAAGCUCUUUUAUCCGGGACGAUAAUGACGGUACCGGAGGAAUAAGCCCCGGCUAACUUCGUG
rnacentral:rRNA from 1 species